GUGUUUGAUUCAGUAGCACAUUUACUAAAAUUUGAAUGAUACAGAGUAGAUUAGCAUGACCCUUGGGAAAAGACAACACAAAUUUGUUAAGUGUUCAAUAUUAAA